rnacentral:rRNA from 1 species
AACGAACGCUGGCGGCAUGCUUAACACAUGCAAGUCGAGCGCCCCGCAAGGGGAGCGGCAGACGGGUGAGUAACGCGUGGGAAUCUACCCUUUUCUACGGAAUAACGCAUGGAAACGUGUGCUAAUACCGUAUAAGCCCUUCGGGGGAAAGAUUUAUCGGGAAAGGAUGAGCCCGCGUUGGAUUAGCUAGUUGGUGGGGUAAAGGCCUACCAAGGCGACGAUCCAUAGCUGGUCUGAGUGGAUGAUCAGCCACAUUGGGACUGAGACACGGCCCAAACUCCUACGGGAGGCAGCAGUGGGGAAUAUUGGACAAUGGGCGCAAGCCUGAUCCAGCCAUGCCGCGUGAGUGAUGAAGGCCCUAGGGUUGUAAAGCUCUUUCACCGGAGAAGAUAAUGACGGUAUCCGGAGAAGAAGCCCCGGCUAACUUCGUGCCAGCAGCCGCGGUAAU